GUCUGUUGGUGUUGUUUAUCCUCCAGGUCUCUGUCUGUUGGUGUUGUUUAUCCUCCAGGUCUCUGUCUGUCUGUUGGUGUUGUUUAUCCUCCAGGUCUCUGUCUGUUGGUGUUGUUUAUCCUCCAGGUCUCUGUCUGUCUGUUGGUGUUGUUUAUCCUCCAGGUCUCUGUCUGUCUGUUGGUGUUGUUUAUCCUCCAGGUCUCUGUCUGUCUGUUGGUGUUGUUUAUCCUCCAGGUGUCUGUCUGUUGGUGUUGUUUAUCCUCCAG
rnacentral:lncRNA from 1 species